GAAAGAGUAUGAUUGUUGUUUCUGAGUUCAUCGGCUGCUCGCCGUCUCUCAGCGGUGCCAUCAGGGUCAAUCCAUGGGACAUUGAGAGUGUAGCCACUGGUAUGACUUCAGGAGCCAUGAUGAAUGAUAGGGAGAAAGAAUUGCGUCAUGAGAAGCACUAUAGAUAUGUUUCUUCUCAUGACGUUGCAUAUUGGGCGAGGAGUUUCGAUCA
rnacentral:misc_RNA from 1 species